UUUCGCAAUGCCCGAAAGGGUGACGAAGCGACGCCGCGUGCGGGAAGAAGGCCUUCGGGUUGUAAACCGCUGUCGGGAGUUAAGAAGUGCAAGGAUGUUAAUAGCAUCUUUGCUUGACUAAGGCUCCGGAGGAAGCCACGGCUAACUCUGUGCCAGCAGCCGCGGUAAUACAGAGGCGGCAAGCGUUGUUCGGAAUUAUUGGGCGUAAAGAGCACGUAGGCGGCUAUGCAAGUCGGUUGUGGAAGCCUUCCGCUCAACGGAAGAACGGCAUCCGAUACUGCAUGGCUCGAGUGCGGGAGGGGAGAGUGGAACUUCUGGUGGAGCGGUGAAAUGCGUAGAUAUCAGAAGGAACACCGGCGGCGAAAGCGACUCUCUGGCCCGUAACUGACGCUGAGUGUGCGAAAGCUAGGGGAGCAAACGGGAUUAGAUACCCCGGUAGUCCUAGCCGUAAACGAUGGGCACUAAGUAGAGGGUUUUA
rnacentral:rRNA from 1 species